UUAACUUGAUCUGUGCAGUUUGUGUUUGUUUUCUCAGUGUUCACAAUUACACGCUGUAGACAGUGACUUCUGGGCCUUUUAGAGCUGCCGAUCAGAAGGCAAAUGGGAGAUAAGUAUUCUGAAAAAAAAGAACCAGACUGUAGGCUGUGUUGUGCUCUUUAUGUAUUUUCCAGCUGGUUUUGCUUCUAACCUUCAGCAUUCCUCAUGGGACACUGAUGCAAAUCUGCAUUCGCUUUUUUUGCUCUUUGUGUAUAACACACAAGACCUAAAGGAAAGCAGUAAUUUGCAACAUUAGGAAAUGUGGCUCAGUGUCCCGGGCCCCAGUGUGAACAUGCACAUUUGAAUAUAAAUGAAAGUGGGCCAGAACCCCCUUGAAGCGUGGAGCUGAUGCAGACUGCCUGCCCUUUCCGCUUUAAGUACUGUAUUUUUUUAUUAUUUUUUUUCCCCUCCUUUGCCGAUCAACAGCUACCAUAUGGGCUGAGCUUCAGCCAGUCAACUACUAAAUUACAAACGCUCUUUUGACUGUAAAUUGAAUGGAAAAGGAUGUCAGUUACCGCUUUCCUCCUGUGGCCCCACCACAAGAGCACCUGCAGUAAAGAGGUGGCAUUCACGCUCUGCGAGACACCCCACGCUGCUGCUGUUAGCCCAGCAGCUCGAGCCUUGGCUUUGCCUACCCCACUGCUGUCACAGCGAAAAGAUGGCAAAGAUAAGAGCCUCACUUUUGAAGAUCAGCUCACUUAGAGGCAUGUCUCGGCACUUAUCCACAGUAUUUUGUUUCCACUAAAGGAAGUAAAAAUCUGCUGGGGAAGAUGGCUAUCGGUGGUGUCCUUCAAAGAGGAGCCUUUGACUUAGGCAUAUGUUUACCGUAUUUAUUCUGACAUUUGUUAUGAAAUUAUAACUGCUUUCUCAGAGAACCUCGCACAGUGACAGGUUCAGCUCCCUUACAGGGUUAGCUGGUUUCCAGCCUGAAUGCUGGAACAAAACGAUGCUGUUUCUUGCCUGUGCAAAGGUGGUCUGGAAUGUGACCGUUCCUCUGUCCCCCAGAGUGUGCGAAGAGGAUUUGGGCAGGGAGAAGCUGCUGAUGUCUGGAAGCGGUGAGCUGGGCAAUCCGUGAAGGGAGACAGCUGUUAGGCCAAGAGAGGUGCCUUGUAUCCCGAUACGUAACAUGGCAGCUGAGCUGGGGGGCAGGCCGGGAGCGAGCCUGCAGCUGCUGCUGGCAAGGGCCUGCCAGCCCUGGGGUUCUAGGAAGGCUGGUGGAACUCUCCGUCAUCUGCUGUGCUCAUUAACUCUUCCUUUCCUACUUAGAUACAGAUGCAUGUGUGUCAUUAUUGAACUAGCCAGAAUGUUGACUCGGCCUGUGAUUUAAAAUAAUUGGGAAGAAGGGGCAGUUUAACAAUGAGGAUAUUUUCUUUUACCUUCUGAAGCCUAAAGCUACAUGGCUGGCUAAAGUAUUAUUUUUGUGGAGUUCCCCAGUGCAUUGCUGGAUGCAUUACAUAUCUGCCUUAUGGCUUUUGUCCCGAAACUCCUUAAAGUUCAGUGCCUACAAGCAUAAACUCCACUCGUGAAUCACUGGAGGGUAGUCGUUAGGUCAAGGCUCAGCACGCUGAAAAAAGUAUUACAGUGCUAAGGACUUUAUGGGGUGACCAAGUAACAUUCAGUAUGUUAAUUUACAAUUACUGCUUAUGACUUACAAUUGUACCGAUCGGAGGCCUUGAGCAUUUCUGCCGGUGUCAAACCCCACAAAACGCAGUCGAAUAUUCUAACAUUAAGCUGGCUGUGCAAUUCUGGUAAUUAUCCGGCAGCGUGUAACAUUUAAGAGGUCGUGUAUUUUUAUGUAUCAUACUGUGUAGUUGUCCUUCUCCCCGGAACUGAGCAGAUGAUAGGAGCUACUGCUGUUUGAAUAAUCUCAAAGCAAGAUGCUGAUGUUCGAAAGUUGUUUUUAGAAAAUUUCCUGUAUCUUUAGAGGGCUUUAAUGUCCUUUCUUCUGAGAUGGUAGAUGACACCUUACAUAAUGAGUACUGUCAGAUGGGUUCAUCCUUGGUUCCUCUCCCGGCCCUGGGCCACCUUUUAGCAUUCAUGCAUAUUAUGACUACUUUAACUAACGUGCCUAUAAAGUAUUUCCACAUGUUUAUUGAGCUUAGAGUCAGAAAAUUAAAUUGUGUUUUAUGGUGAGUUUUUUGGAUAUCCAUUUGUGCCCUUGUUUCCUACCAGCUGUGCAGUGCUGAAAAUUAAUAGCUCAGGUUUCCAUUACCUGUACCUUUUAUGGAUGUUUAGCCUUCGUUCUGCUUUUGUUUCUUAUUCUAAACAUUUUGUAGCUAAAGCAGGCAUGUGUACAAUAUUUGUUGCUUUUUAAUAAAACCUGUAGGGUUCUUUUUAUUAUUUGUACUAUUUAAAACAGGUUUGGAGAGAUGCCGUGGCACAGCUGGCAUCUAGAAAUCUUGUAGCUGCUUCACACCAUGAAAGCAUGCUUUGUGCCUGAUACGGGACAUCUUGCUGCAGUCGUUCUGCUUUGGACAUGUCAGUCAUGUACACAGCGUGGGGAUAGGUGUUGCUUCCUUUGGACUGUGUGAAAGUGGUGCUGGCAGCAUAGAAAGAGUUGGGCUGAAGUAACUUUCUUCCAUUAGAAGAAAAAAAAUCUGAAAAAAAUAAGGUCUGAAUUGUAUCUAGAGUUUUUUUCCCUAAUAGGAAAGCAGAUUUGGUGCAGAAUCAAAACACCUCAAGUCCUUUUGCCGUUUGCACACACAUCCUGAAGGGAAGUUGACAAAAUGAAGCAACUGCAGAGCCUCAUCACUGAGGAUCUCCUUUGCAGGGGUUCUCACUUGCAGCUUUGCGCUUGAGGAAAGUGUACUUGUGACCCAGGAGAGAGCUUUCAUUUUUCAAGAGGAAGGCUGGCAAAGAUCUCGGUCCACCUAUCAAGUCCCUUUUCAUAGAAGACACUCAUGAAAAAAAUAUGAGAGUUGGGCCUACGCAUGGGGCAGAUACUUCACUUUUCACUGGUGAUAGAGUUCUGGCCACUACAAACAUUAGUCACUUGGAGUUCUUCCCUUGGCAUCGUGUGUUUCUCAUCAAAAAUGAAGGCAGUUUUCAGCCAGGAGCGAAGCAUCAAAUUACCCAGUGUUAUUGAAUGCUGAAAUAUAAAGUAGUAGGGCUUUUACUACUGCAAAUAACGUGGUAGCAUGCUCAGUUACUGUGUUCAUACCCCAUUCCGCUGCUGUUGCUGGCUUAUGUAGGUAGAGUUUGAAUGCAGGUUUGGUUCAUGCCCAUCUUUCUAUAGUCAUAUUGAUUGAUUUGAAAGUUUAUAUUUGAAAAUCACUUUGCAUUAUCUCCCCCCUGAUUUUGACUUCAGUGAAAAAUGGCUGGACCCAAAUUGCCAUGCUUUGUGGAUGGGAUUUGUUUGUUUUCUGUGGCUAGUUGCUGACUGGAACCUCAUCUGCACGUUUGUAUUGGCUUUUUAUUUUCAGUUGUCUCUGAAUCUGUCCAGUGAUUAGUUUGUUGACAGAUGGCUUUUCCCUUGAAUAAGAUACAGUGACUAGAUGUUCUGAAUGUCCCAGAAGGGCUCUGGCAUUUGUCCUCAGGACAAUGAAAAACACCCUGGCAUUUUCUGCCUUCUCUGAAUUUGCCUUUCAUUUGUGUAUUGUAUGGAUUCCUCUAAGGAUAUAGAAAGAAAAAUGUUAAAAUAUGGUUAUACCAAGAAAACUGGCAGUUAAAAAAAAGCCUUUUACUCAGCAAACCUGCAGUUGCUGUGUAUUGCAGCUCACACUUCCUUGCCUCAGUAAAUGGCUAUGUUUUCUACCACUGUUUGAAGCUACCACAGCAAAAAAAAAAAAAAAAGAGAAGGAUUGAUUUGAUUCCACUUGCUUUAUUUUGACUGAGUUCCCAUCCCUUGCACCCCUGCAAAUGGUUUGUGGCUCUGAGGUUGCACAAACAAUGCAGGCAGCACAAUAGCAAGACAACAGGGUUUUCACAUGGGAAUAGUGGGAGCUGUGGGACUCUGCCUCAGUGGUGAUGUGCAAGAAGAAAAGAACUUAAUCUGACUCUGUCUCCAGUUUGAGUCUGCAGGGUUGGCACCUAUGGGAGAGGAGGAUCCAUCUCUGUAUUUUUGAUAUGUUAACCAGCCUUGAAGUGGAUCUGCUGAAAUGCAAUCACUGAAACACGCUGAACCCAGGCAUCCUGUGAUGCUAAGACUGGUUCCUUUUCUGAAGGGGAAAGAACAUCAAAAUUAUUAUACUUUCUAUAAUCUCUUAAUCACAGCUCUCAUGAAACAAAAGCUUUCUAAGAGCAUCCUUUCUUCAACAGUUACAGACAAAAAAGCCUCAUUUAAGUAAUGCGCUUGCUGAACCCACUGUGCUGCUGCAGCUGGUACUGGGGACAAGCUCACCCUCUUCCCCACUGACAGUGAUGUGCACAAAUCCACUCUGCUUUUUUUUUUUUUUUUUUUUUUCUUUUCACCACACCAAAUUCUUCAGUUUUGCACAUGUGAGUCAACUUGUAAAAAUGACUCACAAGCUCAUUCCAGCCCUUCUGAAUUGGGAGCCCAAUUAAAAUACUACUUGUAAUGCACAUAUUGAAGAGAACGAAAACUGUCUGUUCCUGAGUGUCAGGCAUUAGCACAGCAUAUCUGAAGGCCUGGCCUGAGCUACUCUGAUACUUGCCAGCAGAAAACCUUGUGUUUAAUUAAGAUACAAGUAACAGAAAAAAUAUUUUGAAAAUCGAGUCAGGUAGGAAAAAAAAAAAAUAUAAUUAAACUAUAAAAUUGGUUCAUUAUCAAUGCAUCAACGUUUAUUUCAUUUAAUUAUUUGUUUUAAAAUAUUUAUGUGUAUAUAUAUAUAUACACAUACAAUGUUGCUGGAUGGAAUGUUUUAUUUAUAAGACACUGCAAAGGUGGUUUUUCUGCGGGGCUACAAUACCUGGCAAUCGGCUGCUUCUGUUGCUGGUUUGCUUUUUGAAUAGACAUUGUCUUAGGUUUCAUGUGUCUUCUGGGCAGGUGCCCCUAUAGAACUGGUAAUGUCCUGUAAUGGUAAUUCCUCACAAUCUCAGUCUUUGGCCUUCAGUGAGCCUUUACGUCAGGACCAGCCAAUCUUUUCGACAUUGCCACCCACGUACCAAAAUUCCCUCUGGAAGGUGAUCCUGGGGAUCUCGGCAGUAGCUGUACUGCAGCACCAGGACACAGUUGACAUAGUCUGAGCAUCAACUUGUAUUUUGACCGGUAUAAGUCACAUAUCGUCCAAAACUAGGCCUCGUCUGCGCCAGCACCACAUCAGCAAUCUGAUUUUUGCCAGCAGGCGAAGGUCUACAGAGGGAACGUGCUGGCUGGACAACAUGUCAUCCCAGCUCAGCAAGGAUGAUGUCUGUGAUAUUGACACAUGGCCCUUCAACUGACAUUACUCUCUGGCAUAUUCAUCAUAAGCACUUUUAUCUCCAAGAUGUUUCUGUGGCAUCACAGCCAACCUUAGGGCAAGAAGGUGGGAGCUGCAGCAAAAGGCAAGGAAUCAUUCAAGGGAAAGAUAUUUCAGAGUGCAAUUGCUUCCUGGUGUUAUCUGCUCUAUCCAGCCAUGGCCUUCCUUUUCACAGGCUUCUGUGACUGCCGCAGAAUAGAGGUCAUACCCAGGAGCAGCGCUUGCCCAAAUUCUCCUACCUGGUCCCAUACCACCAUUGUAACUUACAGCCAGUUUCCAGAGCAGUGGGUAUAAAGCAGCAAGGUCUGUAAGCCUGGUGGUACCACGUAACCCGCCUUCUACAGCUGAGCGAAAAAAAACCCCAGUCUUACAUUAAAGGGAUUCACUGACAAAAGCAACAACCUUAAAAGAGAACUAUUUAAAUAAACAGCUUUUCUGGUUUAAGUUCUAAUUGAAAAGAAGAAAAUGAACUGAUCAGACAUUGUGGGAACAACACAUGCGGGAAUGUAUUUUUCUUCAAAUACAAGUCUAGUAAAUGUAAAGAUGAAACCUGAUCUUUGUCCUAGCAAAGUUCAAACAUGCACAUAUUGUUACCACUUACCAGUAUGUAAAUAACAUAUAUGAAUCAUUGCCAGUAGGUGGUAGUGUGUGUUUUUCAGAUACGUUUGUUAGUACUGCAAGUGUUUCAUGUUUGAGGUGAUUUUUUGUCAUCUUUAAUGUAUGAUCUCAAACCAUCAUUGCUUUGAAUUCAGGCCCUGGUUUCACUGAUUUAAUAGUUCUGCUUCACAAACAUCAGCCCAUCGCAGAGAGGCAUAUUUUGAUUUUCAAGCUUAUGGACAAACCUAACUGGAAACAUUUUGAAAAGUGCCAAUUAGUAUGAGCCCUGAGAAUUCAAAUGCCUGUAUUCAUUGGAAUGAUUGGAUUGCUCUCUAGUGUUUCAUUUUAGGAGGAGAGCUUUUGAUAAAUAAAUGCAUUAUUUUAAUGAUUUAUAAACUUAGAACUGCUCUGUCAUAGAGGCUUUUUUCGAAUCCCUGAAAGAGCUCACUGGAAAAGGAGCAAUACAGUUACUGGACAUCCAGUUCCUGUCAGUGUCUCACUGAGCUGUGUAAGGAAAGGCAGUGCCCAGCUGGAAGAGACUAGGAGUUUUGGUGGAAACCAUCCCUUCCUUGGCCCCUGUGGUUUUUCUUGCUGAGAACAAUCUACACAAAAUCAGUGCUGUUCCCCCAACUCACCACACAGGAAGAGAUGCCCACUUCCCCCCGUGAGAGUAGUUACUAUGUCUCCUGUGAGUACGUCGCUGGCUGCCCGGGGGGACAUUCAUCCUUCCCCAGGUAAUGACCAAGCUGCCCUCGCAGCCUGGCUGGUGCUCUCCGACUGCCUUUGUUGUGCUUUUGGGAAGGGACUGAAUUUUUGUUUGGCGGAAGAAGGGGAUGCCAGUGGUAAAGAUUCCUUCUGUGGUGUUGCCUGCCAGGAAGCGAGGCAGAGGUUGGGAAAGGCUCUAUAAAUAUUUCUGCAAUAACUCAAAGGCAGUGAGCAUUUGGGUUGAUUUGUUUUUCCUGGGGUACAUGAGACUGCUCUCCUCUGUGCAGGUGUCUGAUUCAUGUGGGGCUUCCUUUUUCUUUCUUUUCCUACUUGUUUCCUGCCUCUGCAAUUGUUGCUUGCACUUGUAGCACUUUUACUCAGCCCGGCAGUCCCACUGAAUGCAAUCAGGUUAUUUGUGCAAACACUUUUCAUCAUGAAUAUGGUCUGCAGAGUCAGACCUUUUGCUUCUUCCUUCUGCUUCUAACCUGUCCCUCCCAAGUUUCCUUUCUCAUUGUUUUUCCUUUCACUUAUGUCUGCCUGCUGUUAGAGCAAGCUAGCAGAGAAGGAAGUGGGGGAGGGCUGUUUCUGCAGGGGUUUCAGUGCAAAUAGUUGCAUGGCUUAUAAUUUCUUGAGCAGGUCAGGCUCUUCUUGGCCUGCACUCAGGCUGAGAGAGGAUCACUCGUUGCCAGGUGAGGUUAAUGUUUGUGCCACCAGUGUCCACAGGCUAUGCUGGCAGGAACAGUCAGGGAGUGAGCAGUAAUGGGCCCUGCCCAGAAGCAGAAUUAGUGUAGCCCAGAGGAGCUGUGCAGGAGACCUGUGUCUGACUCAGGAUGAACAGAUUCCCAUGGAGCUCGAGGAGUUGUAGCCCUCCGGCACAUGGAGGAAGGCUUAGGCAUAUGGAUGAGCCAAACUACCAAAACAGAAACCUUCCGUCUUCGGUGGUGAAUGAGUCCUGGUUUCACUUGACUGCAGUUUUUUGUCUCCAUUAAUGACAGAAAAUGCCAUGUGAUAUAGGUAGGUGUUGGAGGUGAUCAUGCAAGCUUGCAGCCUGUUUCCAGUCCCAUGCAGCCAUGUCCAAGCACUCUAGGAUGGAGGUGAAAUAUAAGUUAACCUGCCCUGUUUGCCUUCCUGGAUUAUCCAUUGUUCUUAACCUGUUCCCUUGGAACCUAAUUUGACCAUGCAGUAGAAGGUGGGAUGGAACGUGAUUUUGUGAAGAACUUCCUGCCUGGAAAUGAUACCAAGUUAGCCAUCUAAAGUUGGGAGUCCAUUUGGAAGGUGCCGACCUUAAUAUUUCUGUUCUGCUUUCUGUGUUUCAAAUGGUAACUGCUAGAGGCAAACUCAAGCAAGAGACAUCUAUGCUGCCCUGGUGUGCGUCCUCCCCAAUAUAUAAAUGUAGCUGUUAGUAUAUUGAUAACAGAAAACAGAUUAGUAAGAGUUGGGUUUGAGCUUGGACAUUGAGUUUUGUGGGUAAUGUAGAUUAUGGAAGGGAGGAAUCUCAAGGUCAGAAGCUGAUUGUAUCAUGUGGAAGGCAAGAAACCACAAACUCAGUAGUAGAGAAGUGUUGUGUUGCAGAAGUGAGAACAGAGAUGUUAAUUUAGCAAUUGAAAUCAACCAUGCUGGAGACUUUUAAAUUGUGUUUUAUUUGUAUAGAAACAGUCAGUCCAUCCUGGAACAACAGUAUCUCCGCUGGUUGUUUCUCUGUCAUCUUAUUCGGUGCACUAGUGACGACAUCGUGAUGCGUGGUGAUAGGUCUCAAAAUUCAACUUUGAGUUUUCUAUUCAGAAUUAAGGAGAGGAGUAGGAGGUAGCUUUAUCUAAGUGUACACUACCUAAUCUGUGAAUGAAUACAAAAUGUGAGCGAGGUGGGACAUUGUUCCUGUAACAGGACCAACUCAUCAGCGCUACAGCACUCUUAAAAAAAAAAAAAACAAACAAAAAAAUGUUCCUUCUAAAAUUAUAUAUAACACGAGGCUGCGCGAUCCCGAAGCUUUUCCUCUGGAUUUAAUUCUCCCUCUUGAGUUAACAUCAUCUGAAAUACAAAAUCUAAGAACAUAAUAACUGUUACUUCCAUCUUCCUUUCAACAUUUUCUUUCUGCUAGGAGGCAGGAAAAGCAUGAGGGUGACACUUUAGUUCAUACUCUCACCCCUAGCUGCCAGAGAUGUAGAAGCCAGCAGGCUCUGACAAGGCACUUUUGGUGAAGCUGAGCUGGGGCUUCUUCCAUUACAUCUUCCCAGUGCAGCUGUGAGGGAAGUCCUGACUGGGAGCCUUUAGCACCGAGUGUGGUGCAUAAGCCAGUAGACUGAUCUGCAACUUACUGGCUGGAAGUAGGACAAAUGGUUCUAGAAACCCCAUCAACUUUCACCCAACACCUUUGCUUCCUGUUGUAGACCGUGCAAGCUAAAAGCACAAUUGAAGGUUUGGGUUCUUUAUCUGAAGUACAAUUUUGACUGGGAGUUACUAAAAGGCAGUAAAAGUGGAAGCAUAUUUUGCUGCUUUUUUUUUUUUUUUUUCUCUCUCCAGAGUCCCUUCUCAUUGAUUGCCAUUUGCGGAAUGAGGAUGUCGAAUUUGCCACGUUGCACAAAGUUGUGGCAGCUGUUCCAUAUUGCUAAAUUGGAAAUUAAAAUGGAGAUCUAUUCAAAUUGUCUGACACUUCCAGCAAGCUUGAAAGCAAUGCUUUAAAAUAUAACAGAACUCUAAUUUGGGUCCUGAGGGAUAGUCAGUAACAUUGAAAGCACACGUCUUUUUCCAAAUGGUCUUUAACUGCUUUGUGUCUUUUCCUUUUCCUUGCUAAAUUCUGCUUUCUGUGGCAGCCAUGUGAUCCAGCCGAAGUCAACAGGUUUGCUGAGAACGUCAAAGACCAAAUCCUAGGCGAGAACAUUUCAGCAGGUCUAGUCUGUUAUGACAAUAAAUAUUUUCAGGAAUGUUUAAGCUAUGCUAACCUUUAAAAAGGAAUGGAUCACAUUUCUAUUUUCUUUCUUGAUAAAUGUGUGGUGCCUGAAUCUUCUUAACAGUUUCUUCAUCUAAAGAUAAGACUGGAUUUAUCUGUAUCUGUAGAGGGUAAUGCAAUCUCUUGGUUCAGGAAUUUGUGGAGGUCAGCCUUUUGCCUGUCAACACACAAUCAAAGCUAACUUUUGAUCCUAGUGCUGCUGCUUUAGUAACACUAAUUUUAUAAAGGCUAGAAAAACUCAUAACCGAGGAAAUUAAGUUCUUUGAAACACGUGUCAUUCCAGACCUGGGCUUCAGAACUCAGAGUUUAGCCACCUUGAUUUGUGGCUGCCAUAAAAUUUUGUUUAAAAGCA